UACGUAGGGGGCGAGCGUUGUCCGGAUUUAUUGGGCGUAAAGAGCACGCAGGCGGUCUGUUAAGUUUGGAGUGACAGUUGGUGGCUCAACCACCAAAGUGCUUUGAAAACUGGCAGACUUGAGGGCUUCAGAGGGACACGGAAUUCCGGGUGGAGUGGUGAAAUGCGUAGAGAUCCGGAGGAACACCGAAGACGAAGGCAGUGUCCUGGGGAGUACCUGACGCUCAGAAGCGAAAGCAUGGGGAGCGAACAGG
rnacentral:rRNA from 1 species